rnacentral:lncRNA from 1 species
CAUCGCACAAAAGAGUGGGUGUCCCAAUUAUUUUUGGCAUGUGAGUUUCUUCACAAAGAAGGACUCUUCCUUCUCUUCUGCAUCCACACAUCCCAAGGCAUCAUCAGAUGGCACGAGAAAUAAAAGAACGCAUGGAAUAUGGAAGGAAAUUUAAGAUACUUCAUUAAAAAGGACUCUGCUUCUUAACGCCAAAAUAAAUGGGGUGCCUG